rnacentral:rRNA from 1 species
GAGCGCCCCGCAAGGGGAGCGGCAGACGUGAGAGUAACACGUGGGAACGUACCCUUCAGUUCGGAACAACCCAGGGAAACUUGGGCUAAUACCGAAUACGUCCGUAAGGAGAAAGAUUUAUCGCUGAAGGAUCGGCCCGCGUCUGAUUAGCUAGUUGGUGAGGUAACGGCUCACCAAGGCUACGAUCAGUAGCUGGUCUGAGAGGAUGAUCAGCCUCACUGGGACUGAGACACGGCCCAGACUCCUACGGGAGGCAGCAGUGGGGAAUAUUGGACAAUGGGCGCAAGCCUGAUCCAGCCAUGCCGCGUGGAUGAUGAAGGCCCUAGGGUUGUAAAGUCCUUUCGGCGGGGAAGAUAAUGACGGUACCCGCAGAAGAAGCCCCGGCUAACUUCGUGCCAGCAGCCGCGGUAAUACGAAGGGGGCUAGCGUUGCUCGGAAUCACUGGGCGUAAAGCGCACGUAGGCGGCUUUUUAAGUCAGGGGUGAAAUCCUGGAGCUCAACUCCAGAACUGCCUUUGAUACUGAGAGGCUUGAGUCCGGGAGAGGUGAGUGGAACUGCGAGUGUAGAGGUGAAAUUCGUAGAUAUUCGCAAGAACACCAGUGGCGAAGGCGGCUCACUGGCCCGGUACUGACGCUGAGGUGCGAAAGCGUGGGGA